AGAGUUUGAUCCUGGCUCAGAACGAACGCUGGCGGCAUGCCUAACACAUGCAAGUCGAACGAGAAAGUUUCCUUCGGGGAACUAGUAAAGUGGCGCAAGGGUGAGUAACACGUGAAUAAUCUGCCUACGAAUUCGGGAUAACUCGGCGAAAGUUGUGCUAAUACCGGAUAAGACCACACUCCUAAUGGAGCGUGGCCAAAGGAGUCUCAAACUCCGUUUGUAGAUGAGUUCGCGGACCAUUAGCUUGUUGGCGGGAUAACAGCCCACCAAGGCGACGAUGGUUAGCCGGCCUGAGAGGGCGAUCGGCCACACUGGAACUGAGACACGGUCCAGACUCCUACGGGAGGCAGCAGUGGGGAAUAUUGCGCAAUGGGCGAAAGCCUGACGCAGCAAUGCCGCGUGAGGGAUGAAGGCUUUUGGGUCGUAAACCUCUGUCGGAUGGGAAGAAUAAUGACGGUACCAUCAGAGGAAGCCCCGGCUAACUCCGUGCCAGCAGCCGCGGUAAUACGGGGGGGGCAAGCGUUGUUCGGAAUUAUUGGGCGUAAAGAGUAUGUAGGCGGCUUGAUAAGUCAAGCGUGUAAGCCCACGGCUCAACCGUGGAAUUGCGUUUGAAACUAUUAGGCUUGAGUGCAGGAGAGGAAGGCGGAAUUCCCAGUGUAGCGGUGAAAUGCAUUGAUAUUGGGAAGAACACCGGUGGCGAAGGCGGCCUUCUGGUCUGUUACUGACGCUGAGAUACGAAAGCCAGGGGAGCAAAGGGG
rnacentral:rRNA from 1 species